ensembl:lncRNA
CGUCACUGCCGCCGUGUGGUGGGACUGGUCUGAGCUAGUUUAAGCCGGUGGGGAACGGCUCAUCCUCCUAAAAAACAACUUUGAGGAACUAUUGAAUGCUGACGGCACUUGUAAAGCAGGUCUUUAAGAUACUAAGCAAGAAGUGAUUCGUUCAGUCUAAGUAACUCUAAGCAACUUGGGACAGGUAGCUGGUGACACUUGGAGGGGGGCCGCAAGGUGUUCACAGGCCCCCUGUGCUGUUUCCUCCCUGCCCAGGGGGCCGUGACCCUCUGAGACUCAGAACACACCAAGACACCCAGCAUGUGGUGGAUCCCAGGCCUCUGGACUGGAAUGGCCUCACAGGUGUACCGACAUGUGCAAACGGCUGCAAGUUCAAGGCUGUGCAUCGCAGCAUUGGGUGUGAAAGACUGUGCCAAAGAUUGGGAAUAACUUAACGUCAAUCUGUAACGGAUUGGUUAGUUAAGCGCACCCACACAGUGGAAGAUUAUGGAGCUCUCAAAAAGAAGAAGGCAGUUAGCUGAUGGGGAACGAUAAAGGCGUUUGUUCCAGAGACCAAAGGAAGGUGCAGAGCCGGGUGUCUGGUGGAGAUGGAUAGCGGGGCUUGCCCAAGGUCACAGGUGUGGAAAUUAAUAAAGAAACCUUAACUAGACUGGAAUUGGGAAGGCCUGCAGGGGCUCUCACAUCCGUCACGCAUUGUCAAUUGCACCAAACAGGAAAAGUCAGACACUUGCAUCUUGGAAGGAAGUAGGACUACUUCAGUAGGGAAGGAAGAUUUCUCUCCCCACCUGGCAACAGCCCAGCCAAUGAGAAACACUGCAGCCCAGCCAAUGAGAAACACUGCAGCCCAGCCAAUGAGAAACACUGCAGCUCAGCCAAUGAGAAGUGACUGCAGCCCAGCCAAUGAGAAACACUGCAGCUCAGCCAAUGAGAAACACUGCAGCUCAGCCAAUGAGAAGUGCUGCAGUUCAGCCAAUGAGAAGUGCCUCAGCUCAGCCAAUGUGAAACACCACAGCUCAGCCAAUGAGAAACACUGCAGCUCAGCCAAUGAGAAAUGCCGCAGCUCAGCCAAUGAGAAAUGCCACAGCUCAGCCAAUGAGAAAUGUUGCAGCUCAGCCAAUGAGAAACGCUGUAGCUUAGCCAAUGAGAAACACUGCAGCUCAGCCAAUGAGAAAUGCACAGCUCAGCCAAUGAGAAGCCGUUGCUCCCUUGAUCUCUUACUCUCCCCCAAUGGAAUUUCCUCUAGAACAGCCUCUCUCUGUCCGCCCCACCCCCUUCUCUAUAAAAGCAGCUCGCUCCUUUGUUCUCUGGGUUUGCCCACAGUUUGCCAUAGCAAGCUCAUCCCGAAUUGCAGUUCUUUUGGCUAUUUCCUAAUAAACUCGUUUUUGAGGAUAAAAUAACAGAUAAAUUUGCUUUUAGGUUGACACAGGCUAAUAAACUGCAGAGCUGGGAUUCAGAUUCCAUCUGGGGCCAGAGUGCAUGCCCUGAAGGCCCUCUCUCUAGAGCUCGGCCUCGUGGGUGCUCAGGAAACUUGUUUAGCAGCUAGAAAGGCCGUGGCAUGGAGCUGGGUGGGCUGCUUGAAAAGCUUCCCAACAGGCAGAACCCAUCAGUUUACACUACAGAGACUUUCCAGGGCAGACCACCUCCCUCCUCUGUCCCCUACUGAGGUCUCCUCUGGACUGGACCCUGGAGCAUGGUCCAGCCCGCCUGGCUGUGAGGGUCCGAGCAGUCCUUUCCGUGGGGAGGAGGCAGAAGGCCAGGCCGUCUUCCCAAGGGGUCCAUGGGCUGUGGCUUCACCAAGAAUUUAAUGUACUUUGUACCUAGUGACUGACAGAGGCCUCCUGGUCCGAUGUCACUGUGCAGACGGUGGGGCUCCUGGUCUCACCUGUCCUUAUCUGCAGAGGAGGGGCUGGGUUUCAUCCACAUGCAAAGGGGAGUGAACCACAGUGAGCACAGACUGGACUUGUGUGUGCCCAGCACAGUGCACAAGCGAUCAAACUGCAGCCCAGCUCAGAGGGACUAACGCAAACAAAACUUGGCUAAUUGAUAGAGGCAGAUCUAAGAUUUGAACUAGAGCUCUCCUAUGAAAUCAAUGAGAAGC